rnacentral:rRNA from 1 species
AUACGUAGGGGGCAAGCGUUAUCCGGAUUUACUGGGCGUAAAGGGAGCGUAGACGGAAGGCCAAGUCUGAUGUGAAAGCCCGCGGCUCAACUGCGGGACUGCAUUGGUGACUGGUCAUCUGGAGGGCAGGAGGGGUGAGCGGAAUUCCUAGUGUAGCGGUGAAAUGCGUAGAUAUUCGGAGGAAAACCGGUGGCGAAGGGGGCUUACUGGGGUGUAACUGACGUUGAGGCUCGAAAGCGUGGGGAGCAAAAAGGAUAAGAUACCCCGGUAGUCCACGCCGUAAACGAUGAAUACUAGGUGUCGGGUUUCUAUAGAGAUUCGGUGCCGCAGCAAACGCAAUAAGUAUUCCACCUGGGGAGUACGUUCGCAAGAAUGAAACUCAAAUGAAUUGGCGGGG